AUGCUCAUUUUGGCAGCAUAUAAACUAAACUUAGAAUGAUAUAGACAAGAUUAGCAUGGUCCCUGUACAAGUAUGAUGUGCAAAUUUAUAAAAUGUUCCAUAUUUUU
ensembl:snRNA U6 U6 spliceosomal RNA